rnacentral:rRNA from 1 species
GUGGAGGGGGGAUUAGCUUGUUGGUGAGGUAAUGGCUCACCAAGGCGACGAUCAGUAUCUGGUUUGAGAGGACGAUCAGACACACUGGAACUGAGACACGGUCCAGACUCCUACGGGAGGCAGCAGUAGGGAAUUUUCCGCAAUGGGCGAAAGCCUGACGGAGCAAUCUCGCGUGAGGGAUGACGGCCUAUGGGUUGUAAACCUCUUUUUUCAGGGAGGAAUAAAUGACGUGUACCUGAAGAAUAAGCAUCGGCUAACUCCGUGCCAGCAGCCGCGGUAAGACGGAGGAUGCAAGUGUUAUCCGGAAUCACUGGGCGUAAAGCGUCUGUAGGUGGUUUAAUAAGUCAACUGUUAAAUCUUAAAGCUUAACUUUGAAAUCGCAGUCGAAACUAUUAGACUAGAGUUAUAGUAGA